rnacentral:rRNA from 1 species
UACGUAGGGUCCGAGCGUUGUCCGGAGUUACUGGGCGUAAAGGGCGCGCAGGCGGUCGUUCAAGUCGAGUGUGAAAGCCCCCGGCUCAACUGGGGAGGGUCACUCGAUACUGAUCGACUUGAAGGCAGGAGAGGGAAGCGGAAUUCCCGGUGUAGUGGUGAAAUGCGUAGAUAUCGGGAGGAACACCAGUGGCGAAGGCGGCUUCCUGGCCUGUUCUUGACGCUGAGGCGCGAAAGCUAGGGGAGCAAACGGG